UUCACAUCCUCUGCAGUCAUGGGAUUAUCACUUACAGUGUUCGCCUGUUUGAAAAAUGAGAUUGUUGCUCUUGAGAACCACAGCCAUGUGAGGACAAAAUGAGAAGAAGAUGGCCAUCUGUGAAUGAGAAAGAGGGUCCUCACCAAGAACCCAACCAUGAGGCACCAUGAUCUCAAGCUUCCAGCCUACAGAACUGUGAGAAAUAAAUUUUUGUUGUUUAAGCCA